rnacentral:rRNA from 1 species
GUCUAUUAUGAGGAUAUUUAUAGUCUAGCCUGCUCAAUGAUAUAAAAUAUUAAAUAGCCGCGGUAUCUUGACCGUGCAAAGGUAGCAUAAUCAUUAGUUUUUUAAUUGGAAACUUGUAUGAAUGGUUGGACAAAGAAAAAUCUGUCUCUUACAUUAAAAUUGAAUUUAACUUCUAAGUGAAAAGGCUUAGAUCUCCUAGAGGGACGAUAAGACCCUAUAAAGCUUUAUAAGUUAAAGUAUUUUGUAUAUUUUAUAUUAUAAUAAUGAUUUAUUGAGUACUUAUUUGGUUGGGGCAACAAGAGUAUAAUAAAAAGUAACUGCUAAUGUUUAAAACAAUUAUAUUUGAUUUAAGAGUAAUUGAUCCCCCAGGGGAUUAAAAGAUCAAGCUACUUUAGGGAUAACAGCGUAAUUUAUCCUGAGAGUUCUUAUCAAAGGAAAAGUUUGCGACCUCGAUGUUGAAUUAAAAUGUCUUUAUAGUGCAGCAGCUAUAGAAGAAGGUCUGUUCGACCUUUAAUUUUUUACAUGAUUUGAGUUCAGACCGGCGUGAGCCAGGUCGGUUUCUAUCUUCUAGAAAAUCAUAGACUGUUUUAGUACGAAAGGAUUUAAUAGUCGAAAUUAUUUUAGUAAUAUUUGAAAU